rnacentral:lncRNA from 1 species
AUCAUUUCCUGCAACUAGCAGCAUCGGGUUCCUGCCUGGAGCACCUGAGAUGGCGGCCGUCUCCUCAGGGAUAAAAAGGAGUAGUGCCAAGGUGUGAUGAAAAGCAGUUCCUGUGGCUUUCAAGCUUUGACCAAAACAGAAAAUGCUGGAAAUCCAUCUGUUCUCCAAAUAAAGAGUAAUGCUAUUGAAUCUUGAAUCCAAAAGAUAUGUGCUAGAAGGUUUUCCAAUGAACGUAGUGGGAAUGGAAGCCUGCAGUAACCUCUGAUGGCCAGAAACAGGCAAUGUCCUGUCUGCAUAGCCACUUUUCAAAAGGCUCUGCAGCUUCAUAUUUAUAGAGCAUUGUCAGCUGUGAUGACAAUGAUCUACCCUGCAGUCACAUGGGAGUUCACCGUAUAUUCAGCCAGCCAAGAAAGUGCUCUAGCACAGACCAGUAGAAAGAUCUGCAAGGGUCACUGGGGGGCUGACAUGGGGCAACCCAUUCAGCAGAAGAAUCUGGAGUCCUUUGGUGUGGUCAUUUUCCACAUGGACAUUCACUGUCUGUUUCUGCUUUCACCAGCAGGCGUUAAUAAAAGGCCUAGAUAUUUUUCACAAUUAAAAGUACGUUUUGUGAUUUCUUACAAGAAAUGAAAAAUCAUUGUAUAUAAAUCAGUACAAUAGUAAAACUCUAGCUAAAGACUGGGACAUCAUGAAUUACUGAUCUAUUUCAUAACCAGAUACAAAAACAAAUCCAUCUGACUUAAGUUUUGUAACAACUCCUAACAGUUCUUAAAAAAGAGUAUAGUGAAACUACCAUUAAACUCUUGUACCAUUCCAGAUACAAACAAAAAGGCCUUAAAAACACAAAAGGCAUAACAUCUUGUUAUAGUAAAAAUCUACACUGAUGGUUCCAAUCAAGUCAAUGACAAAAAUUAUCAAUCAAUCAGCACUCUGCAGUGCAAGACCAAUGUAAAUCAAUCAUUGACAACAACAAAGUAUGUGAUUAGCAAGUGUAGAAUUAUUAUCUUCCAAUCAAAUAGCCAGCAGCUAAAUAAUUAUUCACUUUUGCGCAACUUAUUUGAACUUCUCCAGAAUUAGGAUAUAUUAUUUUUCUUUUUUAGUAGCUUGUCUAGACAUUGAUUUCCUUUCUUUCUUCAUAAUAAUAAAAAUGAAGUGCUGAUAUCCA